rnacentral:rRNA from 1 species
AUACGAGGGGUGCAAGCGUUAAUCGGAAUUACUGGGCGUAAAGCGUUCGUAGGCGGUUUGUUAAGCAAGAUGUGAAAGCCCUGGGCUCAACCUGGGAACUGCAUUUUGAACUGGCAAGCUAGAAUACUGUAGAGGGUGGUGGAAUUUCCAGUGUAGCGGUGAAAUGCGUAGAGAUUGGAAGGAACAUCAGUGGCGAAGGCGGCCACCUGGACAGAUAUUGACGCUGAGGAACGAAAGCGUGGGGAGCGAACAGGAUUAGAUACCCCGGUAGUCC